CAGGUUUGUGCAGAGGCAACAGCAACACAUGUUUGCCAUUAUCAACCUGUAGAUUUGGUACUAUAUUAGUUUGAAGAUUGUGUCGGAUCCACAAGAGAGGCAAAAUAUGGAGUGGAAACUACAGUCCAGACACUGCAGGCUUUGAAAGAUUUGCAUGGAGCACAGGUCGGGAUGCUCCCGUUCAUCUUUGGUUUGUUCCGGGCGCAUCGCAGUGCCUAGCUCCACCUGUCUACCUACUUCCUCGCUGUUCUCCUGCUUGCAGGAUCCCAUCUUGAUUUCCGAUCUCAUUAGAUAAGAGUCACAUGAGGGUGAUUUGAGCAAAGAGUUGAUGUCCCUUGAUGUUGUAUGCGAUGUGCAGCUGCAGAGGUUCAGUCCAUGCAUCUUCUGCAAGGUAAAAUUGUACAUGGUAAUAUGGUGUAUAAUCCAGAUGGUGCCAUACAAGCUAUCAUUUGUAUUUGUUCAUGGGGAACCUUUUGUUGCAGAGUAUGCUCGUAUCCGACCAUCAGCUUGUGAAGGGAUCAUAAUAUAUGCCACCUCUCUAUACU